GAUGAAGAACGUAGCGAAAUGCGAUAAGUAAUGCGAAUUGCAGAAUUUCCGUGAGUCAUCGAAUCUUUGAACGCACAUUGCGCCCACUGGUAUUCCGGUGGGCAUGCCUGUUCGAGCGUCAUUAUCCUCCCUCAAACCCCGGGUUUGGUGUUGGACCCAAGUUGUGUGAACAACUGGUCUCAAAGACGAAUGACGGCGUCCGUGGGACCCUCGGUGCAACGAGCUUUUAGGAGCACGCAUCGAGUUGCAAGGACCUUCCGGGCCGGUCUCCUUUACCAUUUUACAAGGUUGACCUCGGAUCAGGUAGGAAUACCCGCUGAACUUAAGCAUAUCAAUAAGCGGAGGA
rnacentral:misc_RNA from 1 species